rnacentral:lncRNA from 1 species
UUCGCUGUUCUUGACCGUAUCUGUAAGAAGUCAAGAAUCAUUAGCUUUCAAUACAUCAUGUGCCAAUAACUGGAGGAAUUAGUAGCUUUGAUGAUUCUCAUGAAGAGUGCCUCAAAUCUAAAAGAGAAGAGGAAGAGUGACUGGCUGCAUAAAAUUCUCUGCAUGAGGUGUCACCAACCAGUAGGGAGGGUUCCCAAGAAGCCUCCAGGUUGAGCUCCUGACUUGCGGACCCUGAGGCAGUGUGGCAGGGUGAGAGGACACAGGCUCUGGAGUUCCCGGGACCCAAGCACAGUGGCUGCAACUUCCUUGCGCUGCUGAAAGAUACCAUGUCUUCAGUGCCAGAGGAUCAACAAAGAAAAACAACUUGGCCUCACAUGAUAAUGACCCCAAGUGGUUGGUCAAGAAAAAGAAGUGGCAAUGAAUGAACAGAUUAUACAUUUCUUUGAAGAAUUUGAACUGAGUUAUGAUGUAUAGAUGGGAGAUAAACCCGGAACAAGGCUUGCAUCAGAGACGUCCUGAACCGUGAUGUUCUUUUGGUAUCUAAGCAUCCCUGUUUCUUUCUCCAUGCAAUGCAACUUUUUCAUUCUCUUGCAUUAAGUAAAAAUACCAA